rnacentral:rRNA from 1 species
UACGUAGGGUGCGGGCGUGUCCGGAAUUUAUUGGGCGUAAAGGGCUCGUAGGCGGUUUGUCGCGUCGGGAGUGAAAACACCGGGCUUAACUCGGUGCUUGCUUUCGAUACGGGCAGACUAGAGGUAUUCAGGGGAGAACGGAAUUCCUGGUGUAGCGGUGAAAUGCGCAGAUAUCAGGAGGAACACCGGUGGCGAAGGCGGGUCUCUGGGCCGAUACUGACGCUGAGGAGCGAAAGCGUGGGGAGCGAACAGGG